rnacentral:lncRNA from 1 species
GCCAAGAAUCAAUUCCAUUUGGUUCUCGUUAAAGACAUGGAUUUGACCAACUAUAACUAUUGUAAUUGAUCUAGAGAAUCCAUGACCUAAUCUAAGGCAACAAUUGAUUAGAUUUAGUCAAUUCUUUAAUUAAGUCCAUCUUUAAUCUAACCUUAGGUCUAACCUAAUUAAUGGACCUAAUUUUCACUAACCCAUUAACCCAAUGUGUUAUGGUUUGUGUCUUAGGUUCUUCAAUUCACAAUCCUAGAAUCUAAUCAAACAACUUCU